GACGAACGCUGGCGGCGUGCCUAAUACAUGCAAGUUGAGCGCUGAAGGUUGGUACUUGUACCAACUGGAUGAGCAGCGAACGGGUGAGUAACGCGUGGGGAAUCUGCCUUUGAGCGGGGGACAACAUUUGGAAACGAAUGCUAAUACCGCAUAAAAACUUUAAACAAAAGUUUUAAGUUUGAAAGAUGCAAUUGCAUCACUCAAAGAUGAUCCCGCGUUGUAUUAGCUAGUUGGUGAGGUAAAGGCUCACCAAGGCGAUGAUACAUAGCCGACCUGAGAGGGUGAUCGGCCACAUUGGGACUGAGACACGGCCCAAACUCCUACGGGAGGCAGCAGUAGGGAAUCUUCGGCAAUGGACGAAAGUCUGACCGAGCAACGCCGCGUGAGUGAAGAAGGUUUUCGGAUCGUAAAACUCUGUUGGUAGAGAAGAACGUUGGUGAGAGUGGAAAGCUCAUCAAGUGACGGUAACUACCCAGAAAGGGACGGCUAACUACGUG
rnacentral:rRNA from 1 species